GUCCCUGGCGCCGGUCUCCACGGACAGGAAAGGCCCCGGGCCUAGCCCAGCUCCUAAGCAGCAUCGGUCCGGGGCCCGGCUGGGGCUGUUCAGAGGGCCAGGCAGCAACAAAGACGAAUCUCUCCCUGAGGCAGGGGUUUUCUGUGAGGAAGAAGGGAGCGCCCUAUGCCUUCCUGUCUGCCAACGCAGAGCCCCUUCUGAGGAAACCUCCUCGGGAGCCCUCCAGGACUGAUUCCUGAGGGCCGCUGUCCCUGGCCCCUUAGGCCCUCUGCGACUUAACUCGGCCAUGCCCCUUUGCAGUGGAAUAAUCUGUCUGAUGCCCUGUCCCCACCCCACUCUAACAUGCCAUUCGCCAGGGUUUCUAGUCUCAGCUCCUUGCGGCACCUCGCGUUUUGCAAAGUUGUUUCAUCACCAGCGUGUCCUUCUAUCUUCAGGACAGCUCCCCGAGGUUGCAAACGGCAUGCCCAUUUUACAGAGGCGGAAGCUGGGAGCAAAGAGAGUAAGCCACGUGUGCCGGCGUUCCAGAAGCAGACCUUCUGAUCUCAGACUCUUCCUUUUCAAGGAAGUCCCAACUCCUAUCUCCUACCUGGCUCUGAACCCAAGGUGUGUCUAAGAUGGCCAGGGACGUCGGAACAGCCAGGGAGAAGAGUGAAGGUAAGAAGGGCUGAAAGGCGAGAGGGCAUAAAGCGCACCCACGGGCUGGCGUGGCGAACAACCAGGCACAGCCUGGGCCAUGGGGGCACCAGCUUUACCCCAUCUCUCCUACGUCUAUGUGCACAUAGAGCAAACCACACACACACACACACACACACACACACACACACACACACACACCCACCCUAGCUGGCCUGGCACCAGGAAGGGGGUAGGUCCAUUUCCACAGUUUAAUUGCCUUGAGGAGCUUGGGGCUGAUUUCCACAACUUACAGAGAAAGACGGAGAGGGAGCCACGGUAAGAGGACAUUUCUAGGGGCGAAUGACAUUUCUGGAACUUUGCUUUCUCUGGCUCUCUGAGAGAAGGGGUUAAAAAAUCAUCAUGUCCCUCAGCAGUGACCUUGCAGAGGAAGCUGCAUGCUGUGUUUCUGCCAGAGGGUGCCCUGGAGGGCAGAGGAGGGGUGUCCACAGGCUGUGGCCAGCCCAGGACAAUAAAAUCUGGUGAUAGCAUGCCAGUGGCUGGAAGGAGACAGGAGGGGACAAAAAAAAAAAAAAAAAGAGACCAGGCUGGAUUUUUCCGCCAGGCUAGCAUUUCUGUCAGACCACAACCUCCUUUUCUUGGCGCCCUCCCCUUUCAGGUUUCACAGAUUGAACAGCCGGGACCCAUAAAAGGGGACAUUGCGGGUCACAGGAAAAAGGAUGGGUUAGACUCAGGGGAAGCCCUGGAAUUUCCUUGCCUGGAGAUCUUCAAGACUCAGAUGAGAGUCUCCUGAACCCGGGAGGAUUUCUUGCUCUUCUCCUUGGCCUCUUUCCCUUCCCUUGUCUGGAAUGCUCUCCAAAUCUCUUUCUCGAAGUCCCGUCCUUUUCUUAAAAGCCUCUCCUGACCCUUCCAGGCUUCAGGGCUCCCUGAGGCCAGAGACCAUGACCCUAGAGCCUUGCUGACCGACAGUGAGAAAGCAGACGCCCGAGAGGACCCUGGGUCCCACCCAACUCUGAGGGUCUGUCAUCACGGUCUUUGACGAGGGUGGGGAGAGCCUUCUCAAGGUUGUGCUCUCGUGUCUGACAGGAGAGGUUAAACUCCAGCUUGUGUGGGUGGCGAAAAGAUCUGGGCCAGAGGGGAGGACGGUUGUCCUAGAAGAAUUGGGUUGGGUCACACACCAAGGAAUUGCUCAAGGCUGGUUUCGCCGGUCAGCAAAAGGGUCCAGGAAGCAGAACCCGUGGGAGGGAAAAGAAACUGGGCUGCUCGCUCCAAAAGCCCGGCCACCCAAGUUCAGCAAGUUCACGUUCCUGGGGCCUUGUGGGAGGGAAGGGGAACAGCUGGGCUCCUUGCUAUAGGUCUGUGCUUUUCCAAGCAAAGCGUCACGGAGCCUCAUCAUCCAAAGAGAUCAACACGCCUACUGGGAGACUAACGAAGAUCUCAAAUCUGGAGUAUUCGAUUACUAACGCAGGUCCUGGGCACUGGGAGGUUGAAAAACCACCAUAUGAACGGAGUUAGAUCUGAAAGCAAGGGGCUUGAUCUCUCACCACACACAUCAGCUGAACUGUGCCGUGAACCUGAUGUUUGUUUAUUAGUAAACAACCAGCACCAGUGUGCUAUUUUUGUGGUCGAUUUCUUUGUUUGGGUUCAUUUCCUUUUUGAAACAUUUCAUGAAUAUAUUUGUACCACAAUCAAAUUCAUGAUUCUUAAAAUUCACUAGGAGGCAAGACACAAAACAAAACAAAACAAAACUCAGAGCAUGAAAAUAUUCUAUGAAGGGAGAGUAAAUGGAACAGAUUUUUUUUUUCUGUGCAAGUUUCUUGUAGAAAUCUGAAUCCCGUCACAACUUUUCAUCCUUAAACUAACUGGAGGCUAAAGCCUAUCUUUAUUCCUUGAUUUUUAAUUGGAGAAUCCAUUUGAUCAUUUUUAAGGUGAAAACAGUAAACGACUUAGAAGUACUUUUCUACCUCGUUGGGGUUUACUUUGAUGACUGAAAAUCAAGGGUCUCAGGAUGCUGUUUGCAAGGCUUAUGCUGAAAACAUGCGUGGGGGCACCUGGAUGGCUCAGUCGGUUAAGUAUCGGACUCUUGAUUUCGGCUCAGGUCGUGAUCUCACGGUU